rnacentral:rRNA from 1 species
GACGAACGCUGGCGGCGUGCUUAACACAUGCAAGUCGAACGGAAAGGCCCUGCUUUUGUGGGGUGCUCGAGUGGCGAACGGGUGAGUAACACGUGAGUAACCUGCCCUUGACUUUGGGAUAACUUCAGGAAACUGGGGCUAAUACCGGAUAGGAGCUCCUGCUGCAUGGUGGGGGUUGGAAAGUUUCGGCGGUUGGGGAUGGACUCGCGGCUUAUCAGCUUGUUGGUGGGGUAGUGGCUUACCAAGGCUUUGACGGGUAGCCGGCCUGAGAGGGUGACCGGCCACAUUGGGACUGAGAUACGGCCCAGACUCCUAUGGGAGGCAGCAGUGGGGAAUAUUGCACAAUGGGCGGAAGCCUGAUGCAGCAACGCCGCGUGCGGGAUGACGGCCUUCGGGUUGUAAACCGCUUUCGCCUGUGACGAAGUGUGAGUGACGGUAAUGGGUAAAGAAGCACCGGCUAACUACGUG